rnacentral:rRNA from 1 species
UACGUAGGUCCCGAGCGUUGUCCGGAUUUAUUGGGCGUAAAGCGAGCGCAGGUGGUUUAUUAAGUCUGGUGUAAAAGGCAGUGACUCAACCAUUGUAUGCAUUGGAAACUGGUAGACUUGAGUGCAGGAGAGGAGAGUGGAAUUCCAUGUGUAGCGGUGAAAUGCGUAGAUAUAUGGAGGAACACCGGUGGCGAAAGCGGCUCUCUGGUCUGUAACUGACGCUGAGGUUCGAAAGCGUGGGUAGCAAACAGG